rnacentral:lncRNA from 1 species
GUCGCCCGGAAGCUCAUGUGUGAGACAAUGCAAGACAGUUCAGAAGAGAAAUGAUUCGGUUGGUUAUGAGAGCCUGAACCCCAUUAGUGAAUUAAUCUCCUGAUGGGAUUAACUGGGUGGUAACUGAAGGGGGUAGGUUGUGGCUGGAGGAGGAUCAUAGUGGGGAGCAGGGUGUCUUUGGGGUAUAUAUUUUGUAUCUCAUGAAUACACUCUUUCUCUUGUUCUCUCUGCUUUCUGAUCAUCAUGUGAGCUGCUUCCCUUCACCACUCUCUUGGGCCAUGAUGUUCAACCUCACCUGGAGCCCUGAAGAAUGGAACUGUCUGUCUAUGGACUGAGACCUCUGAAACUGUGAGUCUGCAAAUAAACUUUUCCUCAUCCAAAGUUGUUCUUGUCAGGUCUUUUAGUCACAGCAGCAAAAAAAACUGACUAAAACAACAGAAAAUAUACAAUAAAUUACUAUAACUAUUUUGUUGGAAGAAAUCUCUAAACCAUUCCCCCUCCCAUUGCCCUCUACUCCCCCCUUCCCCCACACUCCCUGAAGUCAUAUGAACCAGAAUAAUUAUUUUUCUUUGGACUUUCUCUUUCAAAUAUCCUAAUUUGUAUUUUCAAAUUCAACUUUAAAAUUUAUAUGAUCUUUAAUUUUUUAAAUUCACACACUGCAACUUAGUAAUCCAUUCUCCUUCAGCUUAAUCUAUUCACACCCUUUCUCCACAAUACCUAAGGUUCCAUGAUCAUAUUAAAUUUCUGUGUCAACUGACAUGGCAAUAACAUAAGAUCACUGAUCAGGAACCUUCAAGAAAUAUUUGGUCAAUUCAAAUUGCACCACUACGAUUAUUUCUAAAAAUCAUAUUUUUUUAAACAUUUGAGUUUUAUUUUCAAAAUUUUAGUGGGAGAUCCAAAUUCUGUAAGCACUUAUUGAGCACUUACCUUGUGCAUUUUUAAUUUAUAUUAUAAAUUUUAGUGAAUUCAAUAAGCAUUUAGGAGAUUUCUCAAUAAAAGCUAUUGCAACAUAUUUUAAAAUUAAUCCAUCCUCCAGAUCUAAUAUUAAGACAAUUGUUGUUAAAAACAAUGAAAGUCAUAUUCCAAUCAGAAGCAAAUAUAAGCAAUGAAUAAGAAAUCUUAAUGCAAUGGCCUUCUCAUUCAGAAAUUCUAAAGCCUGAAUAAUCUCUAGGCAAACUGUUACUCUCUGUUCAGAGGUCUUUCAUUUGCCCAGUUCAAAAGCUGUCCUAAAAUCUAUCUAUUACUGGAACAGCAAUCUACAUAAUUUAGUAGAAGGUGCUAAAGACUAUCAUAAACUCUAAAUCCUUUCUGAAAUUAAGCACAGAACCUUAACUCCAUCCCUUAUAUUUUGACCAGAAUAAGUUUAACCGCUCACUCUUAUUUCCAGAGAUCAAAAUUUAAUAAAACUGAAAAAUACUUGAGACUUUAUAUAACACCUUUUACUGAAUGAAGACAAUGUGAAUAGAUGUUCCUCUGUGUCUUGCCACACUCUGGGCCUCCACCUCAGUUUAAAAGGAGAGGUAGAGAGUCUGGUACAACAGAAAGAUUUGUGAAGUCACCCAAAUGCAUGAUCCAGGUUCCAACUGUAACUUUAGUGCUAACUAAAAAGAACCACCUUGAGCCAGUUAGGCAAUCAUUCUAGAACCCAAUUUCUGCCUUUCUAAUAUAAAGGAUUUCAUGUCAAUUUAUCAUUCAGGUCUCCUUCAAAUCCAAGAUUCCAGGAUACACAUUAUUCCUAAAUUGAAGAAGAAUCUGUUCCAACAAGGACUGUAAUCCACUCAGGGUCCUCUGUGUUAACUUGAUAAAAAAAGAUCAGGGAAGCCUAAUCAGGUUAAUUUGAACAACAUUAAGAGGAGUCAUUUUAGGUAUUUAGGAAUUCAUCAUAGUCCUUCUUACUAAUGAAGCCUCUGUACUUAACUCAGUACAAGGGCAAGAACUGUUGGUUUCCCAAAUAAAACUUCUUGUUGGUAACCUGGUAAGCUUUUCUUCUCAUCAAUGAAGAGGCAUAGCAGUAGGGAGUAAUUAAGGGGAUCUCAAAUACAUGUCUACUCUUUACCUGUUCAACAAUCUAGAGUUCAAAUGCAGACCAUUGUGUUUCUUUACAUAUUUUUUUUUUAUUUAUCUGGGAACAUCACUAGAAUGUUUCAAGGCAAAAUGCUGUAUAGCCACUCCCCAUUCUGACUUUAAUUAUAGUCUUUGGAAUUGCCACUGAGUUUGAUCUGUUAAAAAAAAAAAAAAAACAGCACACACUCACACACUCAUAAGCAUACUAUUUUCCCCAAAGCAAAUUCCUCUUAUCUUCUCAAUUUGUCAUGACAAGUUUGUUAAACUAUAGAACUAUACAUUUUAAGGAUAGGAAAACUUACAGAUAUUUCAACACAAUUUUAAUCCUAAUAAAAAUGGCCCACUUCAUUCUCUAUAACAAGACUUUCACUACUUCACAAGGUAAUUCUUUCCCACAGCUAGACAGCUCUAAAUAUUUUGGAAGUUUUCCACUUAUAGCAGUAGAAAGAUCACUUCAUUGCUGUCAGUGCUUUCAGAGCACAACAAAGCCAUCAAAUGUCUCUGCCACAUGCCAGAUCUUGAAGUGCUUGAAGACAGUUGUUGCGUCCCUACUUACGUCCCUAGACCUACUCAAGUUUAUCAAUAAAACCUUUCAACAAUUAGUCAAAUUGCUUCUUUCUAUAGCACCAUCAAACCAUAGACUUACCAACCCUUAAGCUCCAUACUCUUUUUCUCCAAGGAGCAACUCUCAAGAGAGUCUCCAUCAGUGUGGCCUUACAUACUAUGUCAAAUUUUCAGAGAUAUGACAAUAACACAUAACUAUGUCACAUUAUCAGUAAAAUAGGAAUGCCUCAGUUUUAAUUCAGAGGCAGUAUAGAAAACAAGUUAAAAUUAUGGGUCCUGGUGCUAGACUGCCCAGGUUCAAAUCUUGGUUCUAGCAUGUACUUGUGGGACAAAUUAAAAAUAACUUGCUCUUUUGAACCACAGUUUUCUCAUUGUUAAAAUCAAAUCUGUUGGAUUAUCAUAAGGAUCAAGUUAAUUCACACAUGUAGGGUAUUUAGAGUAAUGCCUGCAUACAGUAACUAAUUUUACUUUAACUGUUAUUUUUUAAAAAUCUAUCACAAAGUUCUGAUCAUUCAAAAUGACAGCCUGAUACAGUGGAUAGAGUGCUGAAGAGGAAAUCAGGCAAUGUUGGUUUUAAUCCCAAUUCUGCUAUGGCAUUUCCUAAGGGACAUUACAGUCACUUAUAAAACUAAAUGAAAUUAUCCCAGUAUACCAGGUCUAAUAAAUCUGUCAAAAACCAAUAUAGCAAAAAUUGUUCUUAUCAAGCUAUACACUAUUUCUGCUUUUAUAAGCACAAAGAAUCUACUUAUUAACUUACCUAGAACUACAAAAUUAAUUGAUAUAUAUUUUCAGAAAAAAAAUUCUAUUCCACUUGAAAGCCAUAACAUUGGUCUAUAUACUUUUCCCAAGAAGUUUUUCACAAUAAUGAGAAAAUCAUGAGCAAGUUAGACAUACUUUCAAUAUUUUUCAAAUUCCAGGCUAGGCUUGCAUUUCCAUUUCAGGGGGCAGGAAAAAAAAAAAAAAGAAAAAACAGGGGUUGAGUACUGCUUCCUGGGCCAUGUUGAUUAUUGCUACUACAAUCCAGUGUUAUCACAGUAAAUUUUUGAGGGCUAUGGCCUCAUUAUAUUUUGGUACUCACAGUGCAGACAAGAGCAUGUCCCAUAUGAAAGGUUCUCAAUAAGUUUUCGUGCUAUAAAUGAAUGUCUGUGAUCAUUCUUUGCCUUUCUCAAUAAGCUCUAGCUUUUCUGCCCCUUCUUCUAUCUUUGAUGUUUACCCCUUUAAAUGCUGAGCUUAUCAAAGAGCUCGUGAUGCAGUUACACUUUAUUUAACUCCGUUUCUUUCUCAGCAGGAUUAUUCUCAAUUAUAUAGUCAGAAUUACAAUUUUAGAGCAUCUCAUUUUUUGUAAGCUAUAUUUCUUCUUUAUAAUCUCUGUACAUGGAAUUAUAAAUCAGGCAACAUUCAUGCUUAAUUGGUAUUUUCAGUGUAAUUUUUUGUUUCUUCCUCCAUUCUUUAUAUUUCAGCUUCAAAACAUUUAGGCUCCUAACACUAGAGAAGAUAAAAAUAAUAAUAUAAAUUUGUUCUUUUGUAUCUUUAAAGCUUUCAUAUUUCAGUUCCAAUGCUUUAAGUCCUUAAAUUAAUCUGUAGAAUGGCUUAAAACCUUAAUACUUACUAAACAAUAAAUAAGAAAAUAAAAAUUAUUCUAAAGAACUAAAAUAUUAAACCUAAAAUAUACAUUAGCUUUCAAAAGCAGGCAUAUUAUAACUGAUCCUUUAAAACCACCCUUGGUAAUUUAAAUUAUAAUAAUAUCUAAUCUACAUAGCAAGUUGCAAUAUGAAGUUCUACUCCACCCCUUGCCCUGCUGCUUCUUGACCAAAGAGGAAACACUGUGAGCAGUAAAUUAAUAAAUUCUGACUAGUAUGUAAAAAUGGAAAUCUCCAAGAAGACCUAGAAUCAUUCAAAACACAAUCACACAGCCCAUCAGACAGGGGUGCUAGCACUUGGUAUAUGUGGCUCCAAUGGCCAACCAACAAGCACAGAAUGAAGAAGCAGAAAAAGGCAGUGUAACAGAGGCUUGAGAAACGGGAAGAAAACAGCAAGAGAGAAACAAAGGAUGUUGAAUACAAUUAUUAGUAGACAGAAUAAAAAGAGAGACAGUCUUUGAAGAUAUUGAGAGAUCAAAUCUCUGGGUAGUAGUUCAUGUUCUUAGUGAUUAUCCUAGAUGACUAAUGGAUGUUUAACUCUGACCAAACAUGUUAUCUAACAGUGACAGAAACACAGUUGUCAAAGAAAACAUGAAUCUGUUUUUUACACCCUGCCUCCUGGUUUAGAAAUCUGCAACAGGUAGGUAAGCGUAUAUUCACACAACAGUGUGCUGCUCAAAUCAUCAAAGCUGUUUUCUUUUCAGAAUUCAAGAACUAUUAACACAAUCAUAUAGUGAAUGUACCUCCUUAAAAAUUUUGAAACCUUAUUUAUACAAAGCAUCACCAUUUUCAAAUAUAAAAUAGCAACUCCCAACUUAUUCAUAGAGAGUAGAAAGCAGUUUCAUCAUGUAGAAUAAAAUGCAAUUUUGUGUUUUGAAUUCCUAAAUCAGUUCCUCACAAUCUUCAAUUUUGUUUUAUAUAUCAUUUAUUGAUCACAAACUUUGUUAAUCACAAUUUAGACAAAUCUAAUUUUCAAAUCAGCUUGAAAAAGUUCUAUUUUGUUAAAGCUUGAACACUCCCAUAUUUGCAUAAUCAGGAAAUGUUUUUUAAAAGUGAUAAGAAACUAAAAGGUGGUUUUCUUUUCUCCAGAAAACACAGAGAAUCACUUAUAUCUCAGCCAAAUAUAUUUAGAAUAUUGGCAGCUCAAAUUGGCAUGAUUGACACAACUAAAUAACACCCAAAACAGUCCCAGGGCUAAAGAAAAUUGUUAUCAUAAGCAGUUUUGUGAUCCAUUUCCCUCCCUCUGUAAAACAGGUAAGAGAAUGCUCCAAGAUAUCACACAUAGUCAUUUACAUACAGUAUCAUUUUAUGGAAUUUUCCAAGGUGCUAAUUAAAAGUUUUAAUGAAUGUUAAUCAUCUGUCAAUUUCAUUGGCAAUCUCUGUUCAACCAUAUGCUUCUCUUUUACACCUGUAAGUUUUUUUAAAAAAAAAAAAAAACUAUAACCUUAAUUGUUUUACCUCCUUAGGUGAUAUUUAGAUUAAUAUUUAGGAAACAAAAUUUCAGCAGCUUAUACAGUAAUUUUUUGUGAUUAUCUUAUGCAUUUUCUAACUUUUUAAAGGUAUGAUUAUGUAAGAAUUUGCACAAUCAUCAUACUUCCAAGACAGGUUCUAGAAAUGUUCAUAGCAUUGCAUUCCAAAAUUUAGAAAUAAAAUUCUAUCUUAUUAAAUUACUGUACAACUUUUUCUACUGUAAUUGUUCUUUUGUUCAUUAUAUACAUAUGUGUAAUUACCCAUUCAUUCAAAACAUGUGCAUUAGGCACCUAAGUUUUUGACAAAUUGGAAUGAACAGAACAGCCAAAUAUUUCUUUCCUCAGUAAGCUUACAUUCUAUUUGAGGGAGGCAAGAAAAUUUUAAGAAUAUAUAGAAAACUGAAAUAAGAAUGAAAAGAGAGAAGAAGGGAAGGUUGAGGAGAGUAUAUAUAUUCAUAACGUAGGGUGUCUCAGAGAGUGUGUGUGUGUGUGUGUGUGUGUGUGUGUGUAUGAUCCAAUAGGCAGGAGAACAACAAAUCAUUAAGGUCUUAUUUGCCACUAUAAUAACUUGCUAUUGAUCUAUGAGAGAAAAGGGAUGACCACAGGUUUUGAACAGAGGAGUAAUACAGUCUGUGCACAUUUUAACAUGGUCUCUCUGAACAUUUGUAUCCAAAUUCAUGAAGCUCAGAGUCCCCCCCAAAGAUUAAAUCUAGUGGAGACUACUCUGAGAUACAUUAUAACCAAAAUUGGCAAAAGUCAAAGAUAUUGAGUUUUGAAAGCAGAAAAAAAAAGGGACUCAUCACGUAUAAGGGAACUAUUAUAAGACUAUAAGAGGAUUUCUCAGCAUAACCCUUACAAUUUCAGGAGAUAAUGGGAUGUUAUAAGUGAUGUACUAUAAGAAAAAUUCUGUGAUCCAAGAAUACUGUAGCUGGCAAAAUUAUCCUUCAAAAAUGAAAAAGAGGGCUAGGGAUACAGCUCAGUGGUAAAGCACUUGCCUAGCAUUAGCAAGGUUAUCAAUUUGGUUCCUAGCACAGAAAGAACAAUGAAAGAAAGAAAGGAAGGAAGGAAAAGAGAAAGAGAGAGAGAAAGUCAGUCUUUUCCAGACAAACAAAAGCUGAGGGAUAUUGACACCAUUAUACCUGCCUUAUCAGACAUGCUUAAGGAAGAUCUUCAAAUUGAAAUGAACAUGCUAAACAGCAAAAUGAAAACAUUUAAAAGAUAAAAGUAAAUAUAUAUAUACAUGUUAAUAUAACAUUGCAAAAAUGGUACAAAAAUUACUAUUAACCCUAAUAUUAAAAUUAGCAUAAAAAGUGUUAGUAGGUGAACAGAAGUAUAGAGCUUCUCUAUACAAAGUUAAAUUGUUAUCAAUUUGAAAUGAAAGGUUAUCAUUAUAAGAUGUUUUAUGCAAGCCUUGAGCUAACUAGCAAGAAAAAAUCUAUAGAAGAUACAUAAAGGUGGGAGGGGGAGGUGACAUGUGGAACAAAGCAAAUCACAUCAGAAAACCAUCAAGCAAAAAAGGAAAGUAGCAAGGAAUGAUGAGACAGACAAAAUAAUUGCAAGACAGAAAACUAACACAAUACAACAGUAAACUAUGACUUUGCAAAAAUUGCGUUAAAUGUAAAUGGAUUAAAUUCACCAAUCAAAAGGCAUGGAAUAGCUGAAUGGAUCAAAAAAAAAAAAAUAAGAUCCAGUGAUAUGUUCUUUACAAGGACUCUCUUUAAAAUUAAAGACACACAUUGGCUGUAAGUCAAGGAAUAUGAAGAUAUUUCAUGCCAAUGAUAACCAAAAGAAAGCAGCAUGGCUAUCAUUACAUAUGCCAACAAAAUAGACAUUAAAUCUAAAACUUCUCUAGAGAUAAAGAUCAUUUAUAACAAUAAAAUGGUAAAUUCAACCAGAAUAUAUAACAAUUUUAAAUACGUAUGUCAGAACACAUAUAUGUAAAGCAAAUAUCAACAAAUUGAUGGGAGAAUUCACAGUAAUACAAAAUUUGUAGUAGGAAAAUCUAUUACCUCAUUUCUUGAUUUAUUUUGUGCUGCUAUUACAUGAUACCAGAGUCUGGGAAUUUAAAAGAACAAAUAUUUAUUUCUUACAGUUCUGAAAGCGAGGAAGCCCAAGAUUGAGGGACUCACUGAUACCAAUGGCCUUCAUGCUGCAUCAUUCCAUUUUUGGAAGGUGGAAUGGCAAAAGAGGAUAAGAGCAAGACAGAGAGGGAAGGGGGUUGAAAUCAUCCUUUUAUUAGGAACCCACAGCCCAGUGACUAAUCUACUUCCAUAAUAACAGCAUUAAUUCAUUCCUGAGAACAGAGCCCUCAUGACCUACUCAACUCUUAAAGGCCCUACCUCUCAUCACUGCAGCACUAAGGAGAAAGUUACUAACACAUGAACUUAAGGCACCUUUAAACUAGAACUCCCCACUUACAAAAAUGGGUAGAACCAUCAGACAGAAAAUGAAUAAAGAAAAGAACUGGCUUGAAAAGACCAUAAACCAAGUAGACCUAACAGACACAUACAGAUCUUUCCACCCAAUGGCAUCCGAAUCACAUCCAUCCUCUUAAGCACAAAAUAAGUCAACAAAUUUAAGAAAAUCAAAAGGAGUUCAAAUAUCCUUUUAGUGAUAAUGGAACAAAACUAGAAAUCAAAAACAAGGAAAUAGGAAAAUUCACAAAUACAUGGGAACUAAACAGUAUGCUCUUGAACAACCAUUGGGUUAAAGAGGAAACCAAAAGGGAAAGUAAGAUGUAUCUUGAGGAAAACAAAAUGAAAUGAGCAGAGCAUUCCAAAACUUGCAGGACAAGGCACAGGGAGUAACAACAAGGAAGCUUAUGGUGAUAAAUGCUUGCAUUGGAAAAGAAGAAAUAUCCCAAAUAAACAGCCUAAUUUAUACCUUGCUGAGCUACAAAUCUAAGUCCAAAGUUAGCAGAGGAAGGAAAUAAUAAAGAUUAGAGGAGAAAUAAAUCAAAUACAGAUUAAAAAUGCAGAAAAAAAUCAACAAAACUAAAUGUUGGGUUUUCAGAAGAUAAACAAAAUUAACAAACCCUUAACUAGAUGAACUACAAAAGAGAGAGAAAGCCUUGAAUAAAUAAAAUCAGAAAUGAAAAAAGAGAUGGAUGCCUCAGAAAUAAAAAAUGACUAUAAGAGACAACUAUGAACACUUAAAUGGCAACAAACUGGAUAACUUAGAAAAGAUGAAUAAAUGCCUAGAAGCAUACAACCUACAAGACUGAACUGUGGAGAGAGAUGGAGAUUGAAUUAAUAAAUAAGAAUCAACAAAGAAAAUCCUAGGCUUCACUAGUGAAUUGUUCCAGGUAUUUAAGGAAUUAAUGUUAAUCCUUCUCACACUCUUACAAAAAACUUGAAGAGGAUGAUGCAUUUUCUAUUUCAUUUCAUGAAGCCAAAUUACCCUGAUGCCAAAGCCAGACAAAGAGAUACAAAAAAGAAAGCUACAAGCCAAUAUCUCUGAUGAAAAUCAGUGCAAAAAUCCUCAACAAAUACUAUCAAAUUGAAUUCAGCAGCCCAUUAAAAGGACCAUGCUUGCUGAAAAACCUGAAUCUUAGCUAUUUGGGACACUGAGGCGGGGAGAUCUCAAGUUAUGGUAGCUUCAACAACUUGGUGAGGUGCUGUCUCAAAAAUACACAAAUUAAAAGGGCUGGAGAUUUUAGCUCAGUAGUGGUGCACCUCUGGGUUCAAUCUCAAGUACUGAAAAAAAACAAAAACAAAAACUUUUUUUUAAAUAAAAAUAUCAUAUCCCAUGAUCAUAUGAAAUUAAUUCCUGAGAUACAAGAAUGACUCAACAUAGGCAAAUCAAUUAAUCUGAUAAAAUUUUGACAGAAUUAAAGAUAAAAUCAUAUAAGUAUCUCAGUGCAGAAAAACGAUAUGAUAAAAACCCUCAACAAACCAAAAAAAGAAAAAAUGCAUCUCAGCAUAAUAAAUUUUAUAUAUUAAGGCCCAGAUAUUUAUACUCUGCAGUGAAAAAUUGAAAGAUUUUCCUCUAAGGUCUGGAAUAAGACAAGGAUGCCUACUCUCAUCACUUCAAUGUAGUCCUUGAAGUCCUAGUCAGAGCCACAAGGCAGCAUAAGAAAUAAAAGUUCUCAAAAUUAGAAAGAAAGAAGUUAUCCCUUUUAUAGAUGACAUAAUAUUUUAUAUAGAAAAUCCUAAACACUCCAUUUUUUAAAAAUUGUUAGAAAUAAUAAUUGACAUGAAAAAGUUGGCUACAUUCCUAUAUAGUUUCCAAAAACUAUUGGGAAAGGAAAUUAGGAAAACAAUACCACUUACAUUAGGACCACAAUUAAUGAAGUACUUAAAAAUAAAUUUAACUAAGGAUACUAUGGGCUAGUAUGCAAAAACUACAAAGCAUCGGUGACAGAAAUUUAAGAAGACACAAAUAAAUAGACAUCCCAUAUUGGUGAAUUAAAAUACUUAAUAUUGUUAAAAUGCCACACUGUGUCCUAAAUGAUUAAUAAAUUCAAGGCAAUCUCCAUCAAAAUUUCAAUAGCAUUUUUUUUUUUACAAAAAUAGAGAAAACAAUUCUGAAAUUCAUAGGGAGCCACAAAAGAGCCCAAAUAGCCAAAUCGGUCUUGGGAAAGAACAACAAGGCUGGAGGCACAUACUUUCUGCUUUCAAAACAUAUCAGAAAGCUACAGAAAUAAAUCCACACAUAUAUGGUCAACUAAUUCCAAGAAUAAAUAAUGGAGACCGGAUACUCUUUUCAACAAACAAUGUUGUGAAAACUGGAUCUCCAUGAACAAAGUAAUGAAAUUGUAUCUUCUUUUUACACAACCCCAAAAUCAACUCAAAUUGGGAGUAGCCUAGAAUAAAAAGUAACAUCAAUUUCACUCUACUAGUUCUGGCAAUAACUUCAUGAAGAUGACACCAAAAGCACAGGCAACAAAAGUAAAGGCAGACAAGGAGGAUCGCAUACAACUAAAAAGCUUGCGCACAGCAAGGAAACAAUAAACAGAGGAAGGACAAGCUUUUGGACGGAGAAAAUAUUUGCAAACUAUACAUCUGAUAAGGGCAACAUCCAAAACACAUAAGAAACUUGUACAACUCAACAUCAAAAAACUGAAUAACCCAACUUUAAAAUGGUAUGAAGACUUGAAUAAUAGACAUUUCUCCAAUGAACACAUACAAAUGGCCACUAAGUACCUAUAGAAAGAUGCUCAGUGUCACUAGUCAUCAGAGAAAUGCAAAAUCAAAACCACAAUGAGAUACAACCUCACAACAGUCCAGAUGGCGAUUAUUUAAAUAAAGAAAACAAACAAACAAAACAAGAUUGUUGGCAAGGAGGUGGAGAAACUGGAACCCUUUCACACUCUAGAUGGGCAUGCGAAAGGGUAUAGCCUCUAUGGAAAAUAGUACAGGGGCUCCUCAAAAAUAAUUAAAAAUAAAACAACCAUAUGAUCCAGUGAUCCCACUUCUGGGUAUUAAUGUCAAAGAAUUGAAAUCAAGGUCUUGAAGAGAUAUUAGCAUUCCCAGGUUCAUCGCAGUACUAUUCUCCAUAGUAUGUAAAAACAACUUAAAUGUCCAUCAGCAAAUGAAUGGAUAAAGAAAAUGUGUUGUGUACAUACAGUGGAAUAUGAUUCCAUAUUAUAGAAGAAGGAAAUUCUUCAAUAUGCAACAAUAUGGUUGAACCUUACACAUAUUAUGCUAAGUGAAAUCAGCCAAGAACAGAAGAAAAAAUCCUGCAUUAAUCUACUUAUGUAAGAUGUCUAAAAUGGUCAAAUUCAUAAAGUCAAAAAGUGGAAUGGUCAUUGCUGAAGGCUAGGGGUAAUGGGAAAUUGGAAUUGCUAGUCAACAGACAAAAUGUGUCAGUCAAGCAAGAUGAAUAAGCUCUAAACAUGUGUUGUGCAACACCUAUAGUCAACAAUACUGUAUUAUACAUUUAAUUAUUCAUUGAGAGGGUAGAUUCUAUGUUGUGUUCCUACCUUGAUAAAAUAAUUAAAAAGAAGAAAAACAGAAAAGCAACAGCCAAUAGGUAAAAGGAAUGCCAAGAAAAUGGAAGCCAGGUGAAGAAUGCCUUAGAGUCAACAAAAUUAACCAUUUCAAAUGCUGCUGAUGGGACAAGAAGGCAAGGACAGAACUGAUCACUGGCACAGCAACAUGGCCAUCACUGGUUGACUCUAAUAAAGAGCAGUUUCAGUAAAUGGAGAAAGUAAAUGCCUGCAUGGGGUGACUUCAAGAGAAAAGGAGAAGGCAGAAAUUAGAAGAAAAAAUUUGGACAAAUUUUCCAAAGAAUUUUUCUGUAAACAUAUGGAGACAAAUGUGUAGUAGCUGGAGAGUAGAGGCAUCAAAAGAGUAUUUUUCCUCUUAAGUUAGAAGAAAUUAAAAAAUGGUAGGUAGAAGUGAAAGAUCUAGUAGAGAAGGGAAAUUUGAAGACACAGAAGAAAGAGACUCAGGGGUGGAUUCUUCCUAAGCAGAUAGAAGGAAGAGACUCCAGGAUCUAGGGCACAAGUGAGGGGUUGGGCUCAGUAAGGAUCACAAACAGCACACACACAGAAAUAAGACAAAGGCCACGUAGAUAGAUGGUAUAUGUAGGUGAACAGGUGUGGUGGCCAAAGCUUCAAGAAGUUCUUUUUUGUUCCUUUAGUUUUCUAGAAGAAAUAGCAAGCAAGAUCCUGAGCUGAAGAGAUGGACAGGAAAGAAGUGUAAGAAUCCUAACAAGUAUGAGAAAAGAAAAGUGGACUCCCUCAUCCAGAACAAGCUAGGCUAGCUCCUGGGCUCUAGCCUGUGCUAGAAUUCUCUUGAGAAUUCUGUUCUCAACUCAAGUGUCAUUGCCUUCCUUGAAUACAACAAAACCAAAUCCUAGGAAACACUUUCUACCACAUUGGUCUAUUCCUUCUUCUGAUGAUGAAAUUAACAUUUCUAUCCAGCUUGUUUGCUAUCAUGACCACUGGAGUUUAAGCUCCUUGAAGGCAAGGGCUGCCAAUUUUGUUCACUGGUGCAUCCCCAGUGCCUAGAAGAGUGUGCACAGGGUAGGUAUCGAUUCACCAACCUUUGGGCUAAAUGUUGAGGAAACUUAAUGUCCCCAGAGAAGGGCUGUCCACAUAAGAUAUUUGUUUCUCUAUACUGUGAUUCUAGAAGGAGAGAAUACACAUACAUAAAGGAUCUGAGGAGGAGAGAUGAGACAGUGAAUUGAGUCACAUUUUGGUAUUGGCUAGUAAAGUUGAAACUUGUUACUUCCAUGACCUUGCUGAGCCUAUCUAUAAGAACACUGAAACUAAUUAUAACCUGGUGUGGAGAACUGAUCUCCAAGUGUAAUGCUGAGACAACAAUCCAGUUUUCAAAAUCUACCAAACAACAAUAUUGUUCAUAGUGUCUCUACUACUACUACUACUACUAAUAAUAAUAAUACUUUUCUGUCUGUUAUAGAUUUACUUUUGUCUCCCUCGAUGUUGCUAAAUAUCAUCUAGAGAAAAUAAGGCAGCAAUUUUCUGACAUUCCGUAAGGAGCCCAAGUCUCAUUACACAGCACUGUAUUCAAUCCUCUCCAUCCACCUCUCCAUCCUAGAGCAGACAUGAGCUCUAACUACUCUGUCAAGGGAGGUGAAUGUCCUCCUGAUUUCUUCAAAAAAGAAACUUAAAAAAAAAAAAAAAGAGUGUGGGAGUGAGUCACCACAAGCUUAAUAAAUACAAACGUCAAUUACUUUAAAAAUGGUAAAUGAAGUUUACAUGAUUUUUUUAAAAGUUACUCUUCUUCAGAGGCACAUUAUUCUGAUUUAAAUGAUUGACACUAGCAAAGCAUUAAUUCACAAAAGCUGUCCUCAUCACACACUUCCUUAAAUGCAAGUGUAAGGAUCCUUAUUAUUUUUGUUUUAUUUCAGGGCAAAAUGCAGUGGAAGGAAUGACCACCUCAUGGCUCCUUAUGAAGCAUUUUCAAGGGAAGGAAGCUGAAGAAUUGGGAAGACAGUGUAUUUAAUGUAAGCCACGACUAACACACACUCUCCUCUUCCCCAUUUCUCAAGAUCUCUUUUACACAAAGUGGCAGAGUCGGCUCAGCUGGUCUUGAACUGUGCUUCCCCUUUUAUGGAAAAUAUCAACAGGGAUUUUUUUUCAUGGCUGGAGGUGCUUUCCUCAUCUAAAUAUUAAAUUCUGACAAGCCUUUCCAACUUAGUGGAACAUAAUCAUACUUGCUACUUGUUAAUUAGGAGCAGAGUGAUAACUAUUAAAAGUUGAAAGAGUUUCCUGGUGGUUAUAGCAAGUUUCGACAUGAUCCCAAGCUUUGUCAAUAACCACAAGGGAAAAAGAAAGCAAAAGGAAAAUGCCUCUCUAGAGCCCUUCAUUUCUGAGAGAAGAGUGGAUGUUAACUACUACUGUCUCGUUCUCACGUGACAUCUCAGCACCAAAGGAGGCCAGAGAGGAGACCCGCCAUGCUCAGAGAGUGGAGAACAGAACCCAGAGCGAGUCAGGAAAUCUGAGUUCUACAACCACCUCUCUUAGGGUCUAUAUGACCUUAAAAAUCUUUCCCUGCAUCCAUGGAUCUCAAUUUCUUCAGUGAGUUUGUAGGAAGGAAGUUUGGAGGCUGGGGAAGAAUGCCCCUAUUCUAAAAUGCUGUGUCCACCACACAAUUCAUACAUAGUCUUGGAGAACAUUUUGCAAAACAUUUCCAAAAACUAGACAUCAUAGCCUUGCCACUUUUUAUAGGCAGAUUCUCAGAAUUAUGAUAGCUGGCAUUGGUAUGCCAUUUUUCAAUUUCGGAAAAUUUGAGCUUUUACAUAUAUUAUUUCAAUUGCUCCUCCAAAUAGUCUUGUGAAAUGUGUAUCACUGUGUCCCCGAUGAGCUAGGAGAGAAAGAAUGAAGAAGAAAAGAGAUUAAGUGACUUGCCCCAGAGCAGAAGGAAGUACUAUAACACCCAAAAUAUCUGUUCCUCUUACUUCACUUAGAAUUGUAAUUAAUCAGUACAAGCCCCGCUAGUAUAUCUCAAACCAGUUACUAUACAGAAAAUAGGAACAAUGAAAAUGGGAAAAUAAAAAGCCUCCAAGAAAGUUACACAUGGUUCCCACAAGCUCAGAGAAUAUAUAACUAUCAUGUUGGGUCCACACCACCACCAUUUAAUUCACUUGUGUCUAAAAUAAAUUCAUCCACAGUGGCAUAUUUCCUAAAAUACAGCUCCUGGGAUCUUUGUAACAUGUUAUCCAAAUAAUGAGACAUAAAUACUCAAUUUAUAUACUACAUACCUUUUAACAAAAAUAAAAAUAUGCACAUCAUCCUACAGGAUGGAAUUAAACUUUAUAUACAUUACUCAAGAAAAAUAAAAAAGAAAACAAGAAGCAGAAUCUUAUGAGUGUCCAAGGAUAAAGGUCACAGGAGGUACUGUCACAAUCCAUGCUUCCAUUAGAAACCUUCUUCCUAACUAGUAGACCAACCAAAAGUGAAUUUAACUCAAAAGCAAAUCUGCUUUUUU